rnacentral:rRNA from 1 species
AUUGAACGCUGGCGGCAGGGUUAACACAUGCAAGUCGAACGAGUGGCGGACGGGUGAGUAAUGCUUGGGAAUCUAGCUUAUGGAGGGGGAUAACUACGGGAAACUGUCGCUAAUACCGCGUACCAUAGGAUGAGCCCAAGUGGGAUUAGGUAGUUGGUGAGGUAAAGGCUCAACAAGCCGACGAUCGCUAGCUGGUAGGAGAGGAUGACCAGCCACACGGGGACUGAGACACGGCCCAGACUCCCACGGGAGGCAGCAGUGGGGAAUAUUGCGCAAUGGGGGCAACCUGACGCAGCCAUGCCGCGUGAAUGAAGAAGGCCUUCGGGUUGUAAAGUUCUUUCGGUAGCGAGGCGUUAACUACAGAAGAAGCACCGGCUAACUCCGUGCCAGCAGCCGCGGUAAUAC